GGGCGCCGAGGGGACGGUGGGAGCCCGGAGACGGGCCCCAUCUGGAACCUCCCGCACCGCCCGCGGAAGCCGCCUGUGGGCCGCCGAGAGGCGGGGGUAAAAACCAACAGGCGGCGCGGCCCCCAAGUAGGGCCUGUGAGGCCGCGGCGAGGCCCGGGUAGGGGGUUAGACUAAUACCCAGACAGAAGCGGGGGUAUGCGGCGCCC
rnacentral:RNase_P_RNA from 1 species